AGGCGCGUGGCUUAGUGGUUAGGGCAUUCGACUCACGAUCGUAAGGUCGUGAGUUC
rnacentral:tRNA from 1 species